CGUACAUCCAAAUGCCCAGAAGGCAAUUUCAUUGCCUACGGAUGCAGUGACACGACUGAGGUCACCUGAAGUCUGCGUCAGAGAAAGGAACUGAGCCCAUGGCUCACGCAGCAGGGACCAAACGUCACAGCGUGGGGCUGGAUGCACUUCAUGGAAAUGGAUUUCAUGGUUGAAAAAGGGCCCAGUGUAAAUCCUCCAGUACUGAGAUCAGCAGGGCAUCUUUUGUGUCCUCCCUUCCCAGGGCACCUGUGCAGCUUACUGGGAGAAGCACAGCUGGAAUUUCUUCAUUUGCCUUUGGAUUCCCAUUCACAUGCUGGCCAUACAAAACUCUCUUUUCUUUUUACUGUUCCCAGAAAUAACAUUUUCCAAUGAUUUUUUAAUUUUUGUUUCCAUUUCCAGAGCAGGUCAGAAUGUCGUGAAGAGCUGUGACAUACCCAAAGGCCACUUUGUGCUCACGCUAUGGGCUGUGCUUAGUUGGGGAUGCACCAGCAUGAGGGCAAACUCCGCGUUGCAGGAAGCAUUUAGAAGUGCAGAACUCACAACCAUUGGUGCCAAGUGAAUGGAGGACACAUCUGAGAACUCAACGUUUUUUAGACUAAUUCCAGCAGAAAAUAACAAGAUUUCUGCCCAUGCCAGAGAUGGUUUUCAGAUGCUGUUGGUGCUAUGCCCAAUGCAGCUGAUUCACCUACUGUGGCAUUGCUGUGUUCCUGGCCCACUGCAGCCAAGCAGACCCCUGGAGCUGUGCCAGAAAGUAGGAGGUGCCUAACGGAUGACAGCUCCCAAGACAUGGCUGGGAAGCAGCAGAUGGGCACUUGGGGCUCAUGGACUUCAGCAGGGAGAGAGCAGUGGGACAGCAGAGCAGACCCCUCCAUUACCACAGCACUGGGUGCUGGACAAGGCACGUUGCCGCGGAGUAUUGAUUGCCAGAGGAACAAAAGCAAAGCAUGGGUAAAGUGCAAUAAUCAUGUGAGAGGAGAGAAACUACAGAAGUACACCACAGGUUCACUUAACUCCUGCUUGGUCGAUAAGCUGCUUAUUGAAACGCAUUAUUCUUCUGUUCCUGAUUCCCAGAAGUGUCUGAGCUGCCUGGAAGACCAUAACAGAACAGGCUGCCUCCUAGGUCUGCCAUUGAUUUUAAUGGAAAG
rnacentral:lncRNA from 1 species